ACUCAUUGCCAGUUCAUUCUUCCACCUACUGUGGUAACUAGGCCUCAUCUACGCUCCACUCUUCCAUCGCCCUUUAUUCGUGUUUAACUGUACAGGUUUCCACACAAUUCCACCUUGGACUCACCACCUGUUGUAUGCUCUCCAGCGCUGGCUUCCUUGUUCCACUCGAAACCCUCCCUGAAGCUUUUCAGUCUGGUCCUGCAUGUAAGCCAACAGCACCUACUCACCUGCUUCUUUACCUGCCAGUAAUCGCUUCUCCCUUUGUUGCAAAGCUCCCAUGGUUCCGAUCGCGACUUCUAUGGACAGCCUCCCCCCUCCUCUCCCCCUUUAGAUCCCAGCGUGCUGCUCAAAUAGCAGAGAUAUGAUCUGAUAAUAAUCUCCAGCUGCACUGGCCAGCCUCCCCUGGCACUGCCUCUGAACCCGCUGCACCACCAUGAACAAGACCCCAAGACAGUUUAUGUUGGGCAGAGUACCACUAACAUUGGAGCUGGAAGUCAACAAAAACAACAUCAUCAUCUGCAAUCAGAAGAGAUGAAAUCCUGAGACCACCAAAGUGGAAGCCUUCUACCAUUUGACUGGAACUAGAAAUACUGUUCAAAAUUCUGAAAAAAAUCAGUGACAAGGGCAGCCAAGAUGAAGUCCAACAUCCUACAGAGCCCAGAAGAUCCCCAGAGGGAUGUAUUCAAAUGCCUUGUUGUAUCGACUUGAGUUUAGCUGAAGUCCACAUGAACUUUGGGCGUCUGUAGCAACUGUCUCAUCAAGAUCCAAUGAUCCCAUUGUGUGAUUUUACAUGGUCUAUCACAUUGUGAGUUCCUUUCAUUUCCAACUGUUUCUGCUUUGUUUCGA